AAUUAGUGAUGCACUUUUUACGCUGCUAUAAUUAGAUAAAGUGUUACGCAAUAUCUUCGUACUUUGCCAUGGUGACUGUUUACGCUUCAACGUGCCGGGGCUAAGGACUUCAGUUGUGAUGUUGCGAUUAUCAGUUAUGCUACUAGGCGUCGCGAAAAAUGCACUUCGAUAGAAAUGCACUUUCCCGUUAUGUAAUGUAAAAUCUGAGCCAUAAUAAUCUUGAUUUCCAAUCACGCUGAAUGGAGCCGCUCCUUUACCGCCAUACUGAUAUCGAUCUCCUUUAUAUGUACACAGACAAUAUGUAUAUUCUUGGUCCUUGAUCGGUAACUGGUACUAUGUGACUACUAGCCGCGAUGUUUGAAUAUCAUUUGAAUUUAGAUUUGAAUGUAAUGGCAGCAGGUGCGCUUUGUUAUUAUUAUUACUAUCGUAUAAUAUACUUCAUAAUUAGUUGUUAUAUACAUACAUAUAAUAAUGUUAUAGAACGUAUAUUUUUGUAUUAAAGUAUAUAUUUAACAAGUGUAUAAUACAAUAAAUAAUUAAAAUAUAAUUUACAAAUA